GAUGAAGAACGCAGUGAAACGCGAUAGUUAAUGUGAAUUGCAGAAUUCAGUGAAUCAUCGAGUCUUUGAACGCACAUUGCGCCCCCUGGUAUUCCGGGGGGCAUGCCUGUCCGAGCGUCAUUACAACCCUCAAGCUCAGCUUGGUGUUGGGCCCCGCCGCCCCGGCGGGCCCUAAAGUCAGUGGCGGUGCCGUCCGGCUCCGAGCGUAGUAAUUCUUCUCGCUCUGGAGGCCCGGUCGCGUGCCCGCCAGCAACCCCCAAUUUUUUUCAGGUUGACCUCGGAUCAGGUAGGGAUACCCGCUGAACUUAAGCAUAUCAAUAAGCGGAGGA
rnacentral:misc_RNA from 1 species